GGUGAGAUGGCCGAGUUGGUUAUGGCGCCAGGUUAAGGUCCUGGUGGAGCAAUCCUCCUGGGUUCAAUUCCCAGUCUCAUCA
rnacentral:tRNA from 1 species